rnacentral:rRNA from 1 species
GACGAACGCUGGCGGCGUGCUUAACACGUGCAAGUCGAACGAUGAAGAAGAGAAACGCGAACUUCGGUUCAAAUUUCACUUCGGAUUAGUGGCAGACGGGUGAGUAACGCGUGAGCAACCUACCUCUUACAAAGGGAUAGCCUCGGGAAACCGUGAUUAAUACCAUAUGACACAUUCAUAAGGCAUCUUAAGAAUGUUAAAGCUACGGCGGUAAGAGAUGGGCUCGCGUCCCAUUAGCUAGUUGGUGAGGUAACGGCCCACCAAGGCGACGAUGGGUAACCGGCCUGAGAGGGUGAACGGUCACAUUGGAACUGAGACACGGUCCAAACUCCUACGGGAGGCAGCAGUUGGGAAUAUUGCACAAUGGAGGGAACUCUGAUGCAGCGACGCCGCGUGUGCGAUGAAGGAAUUCGUUUCGUAAAGCUCUGUUCUAUGGGAAGAAAAGGACGGUACCAUAGGAGAAAGCCCCGGCUAAAUACGUG